rnacentral:rRNA from 1 species
GAUGAACGCUGGCGGCGUGCCUAAUACAUGCAAGUCGAGCGAAGCGGGGACGGGUGAGUAAUACGUGGAUAACCUCCUAUAAGACUGGGAUACCUUCGGGAAACCUGACUUAAACCGGUUACUUACAGUUGGAUCUGAGCUGCAUUAGCGAGUUUGUACGUUAACGGCUAACCAAAGCUACGUUGCAUAGCCGACCUGAGAGAGUGCUCGGCCACACUGGACCUGAGACACGGUCCAGACUCCUACGGGAGGCAGCAGUAGGGAAUCUUCCGCAAUGGGCGAAAGCCUGACGGAGCAACUCCGCGUGAGUGAUGAAGGUCUUCGGAUCGUAAAACUCUGUUAUUAGGGAAGCGGUACCUAAUCAGAAAGCCACGGCUAACUACGUGCCAGCAGCCGCGGUAAUUC